rnacentral:rRNA from 1 species
AUUGAACGCUGGCAGCAGGCCUAACACAUGCAAGUCGAGCGGCAGCGGGAAGUAGCUUGCUACUUUGCCGGCGAGCGGCGGACGGGUGAGUAAUGCCUGGGGAUCUGCCCAAUCGAGGGGGAUAACUACUGGAAACGGUAGCUAAUACCGCAUACGCCCUACGGGGGAAAGCAGGGGACCUUUUGGCCUUGCGCGAUUGGAUGAACCCAGGUGGGAUUAGCUUGUUGGUGAGGUAACGGCUCACCAAGGCGACGAUCACUAGCUGGUCUGAGAGGAUGAUCAGACACACUGGAACUGAGACACGGUCCAGACUCCUACGGGAGGCAGCAGUGGGGAAUAUUGCACAAUGGGGGAAACCCUGAUGCAGCCAUGCCGCGUGUGUGAAGAAGGCCUUCGGGUUGUAAAGCACUUUCAGCGAGGAGGAAGGGGAGUGAGCUAAUACCUUACUUCAUUGACGUUACUCGCAGAAGAAGCACCGGCUAACUCCGUGCCAGCAGCCGCCGUAA